UAUUAGAUGAGAAGAGUGGUCUGUGAACCAUAAGCGGACUGCUAAGACAAAGAACGUGAAAGAAAGAAAAAGAGCAAUCACAAAAUAGAAGGCUUAUGGAUUUCAGUUUGAUUCUCGGCUGGGUGGCUUUGGUAAGUAGUUCACUCACUCUGUUUCAAGGCCUCAGCUUUCUCUUCCAUAAUAUGAAGAUAAAAUUCUCUACCCUGUAAGGUUUCUGGACUUGGCUUUCUCCUUUAAUUAGGUUGAAAGAUGCUAAUGAUUCUAUUUAUAGUAAUAAAGACAGCGCUGACAGUUCACAGCUAAAUUGUUGCUAGAGAAGUGCAAAUGAGUUGGCAUUGGAUAUUCCGACUCAACCAGAAGUAAGGAGCUGGGUAAGCAAUGAAUAUCAUGACACUGGCUCCUAAGCCAUAGCAUGAGAAAGGAUGAGCUCAGGAAUUCAAAUUCCUAGCUCAAGUGUCAGAUAAAUAACCUAAGAGCCUCCACAUGUACCCUGAAAGAGAUCCUUAUCCUCUGUAGCUUCAGGGCUGAAAUUGCUGAAAAUCAUAUACAAAAUCUCAUUCUGUCAUGGUUUGAAUGACAACACAAAUUGAACUUCCAGUCAUGGAAGGAGUCUACUCUUUUUCUUCAUUUCCUGCAGUACUGGCGAUUAGACCCAGGGCCUUAAACAUACCAAGCAAGUGCUUUACCACGGAGCUACAUCC
rnacentral:lncRNA from 1 species